UACGGGGGGGGCAAGCGUUGUUCGGAAUUACUGGGCGUAAAGGGCUAGUAGGCGGCCAACUCAGUCGGAUGUGAAAUCCCCAGGCUCAACUUGGGAACUGCAUCCGAUACUGGAUGGCUUGAAUCCGGGAGAGGGAUGCAGAAUUCCAGGUGUAGCGGUGAAAUGCGUAGAUAUCUGGAGGAAUACCGGUGGCGAAGGCGGCAUCCUGGACCGGCAUUGACGCUGAAUAGCGAAAGCCAGGGGAGCAAACGGG
rnacentral:rRNA from 1 species